AAUUCAAAUACCAUGAAUAUCCAAUGGGAAGCUCACAUGUACGUGUGUGUGCACAACGAAACAAAACAUUUUUCUAUC
ensembl:ncRNA M01G4.7 ncRNA